CCUUCUCCUCUGCCUUAGUUCUUGAAGAACCCAACAACAAACAACGAAUCUACCCUCAAGAAACUCAAAUCAAGUGCAGCAGCCAUGGCCGCCUUCUUCACCUCGAUUCUCUGAACAACACAAUAACAAUAUUCCUUCUUGCCUUCGAUUUUCGAAGAAAUAAGGGGUAGUUGGGUUCCCUUUGAUUGCUGGGGCGUGAAUUUGAAGCAAACAAUCAACUUCUUGUUCUUCCUUUGAAAUAGACGCCCAAUUCUUCCUGCAAAUUAUGUGAAGAGAGCAGCAUAUCUAUUUGGACAAUCAGUUUUCAACAAAAUUUGACUUAAGUUUACAACGAAAAUGGGGGACUUGGCUGCUGAGAAGCAUGUGCGAUAUAUUAUAUUAGUUGAAAAGUGCAAUAAUUUGCUACGUGUGCCCUUAGAAGAAGGAUGCAUUUGAAUCGGUAGUCAUGGAGCACCUUAGAAUGAAUGGUGCUUACUGGGGGCUGACAACACUAGAUCUUCUCGGAAAGCUUCAAGUUGUGGAUCAAGAUGAAGUUAUUCCAUGGGUUAUGCAGUGUCAACAUGAAUCUGGCAAACAUAUCUUCGUUGGAAAUUUUUGGUACUCAAUGACAAAGUUGGUGAUAGCUACAAGCAUUUUGGAUGCGCGAUGUUUUGGGUUAUGAAGUAGCUAUAUGUGCACUUGUAAAUUUUUGGACUUUUUCAAAGUGCCUAUCACUUGUAAAUUUUUGCAUGAAAACUUGUAUAUGGUAGGAGAAUUAUUUUGGAAAAUUGGUUAUCCGAUCCGUUACAUGUAUAUGAAUUACGAGUAUUUUUGA